AGUGGAUCGAGUCAGUUGUUCUUGUUUUUGUUUGAGGCAUGGUCUGGCUUUGUGAACAGGCUGGCCUCACAGAGAUCCGCCUGACUCGGCCUCUCCUGUUUUGAGCAUUAAAGGUAUCUUUCCAGGUGACUGCCCUUCCACACAGUUACAGUUAAGGACCCCUAGGCAUGGGAAGAAUUUCCUGGGAAAACAUGAAGUUCCAGGCCAGCCAGGGAGAUGGUUCAGCGCGUAAAGCCACAUGCUAAGCCUGAUCUGGAGUUUUGAUUCUGGGAUCCACAGGGUGAAAGGAGAGAACUGACUCUUGUAAGUUGUUCUCUGACUUCUGCAUAUACCAGAGUGUGCAUACAUGAACAUACACACACACACCUGAAUGUAAUAUGGUAGCGAGUGACUGAAGAGAUCCAGUAUCCAUAUUUGGACUCCACACAAGUACACCACAGUUUUCAGGAAGCUCCCUCUUGAAGCCAAGGUUAAGGGAGUUAUCAGAGGUGCAUCUGGUUGGUCAAACUGUCCCCCGUUUCCCCAACUGAAGCUCAGAAAAACUAGGAGGGGUUUGAACACAGAACCACAGGC
rnacentral:lncRNA from 1 species